rnacentral:rRNA from 1 species
AGGACGAACGCUGGCGGCGUGCUUAACACAUGCAAGUCGAACGAUGAUCCAGAGCUUGCUCUGGGGAUUAGUGGCGAACGGGUGAGUAACACGUGAGUAACCUGCCCUUGACUCUGGGAUAAGCGUUGGAAACGACGUCUAAUACCGGAUACGACCAGCCCUGGCAUCGGGUGUUGGUGGAAAGAAUUUUGGUCAAGGAUGGACUCGCGGCCUAUCAGGUAGUUGGUGAGGUAAUGGCUCACCAAGCCUACGACGGGUAGCCGGCCUGAGAGGGUGACCGGCCACACUGGGACUGAGACACGGCCCAGACUCCUACGGGAGGCAGCAGUGGGGAAUAUUGCACAAUGGGCGAAAGCCUAGAUGCAGCAACGCCGCGUGAGGGACGACGGCCUCGGGUUGUAAACCUCUUUAGCAGGAAGAAGCGAAGUGACGUACCGUGCAAGAAAAGCGAACCGGACUAACUACGU